ACCAGUGCACUAGCAAAAUUAGUAACCAGAAUUUGUGCAGGAUAGUAACUAGCUAAUUACCUACAGCUGGGCUUAUGCAUUGGCAUUUUGUUAAGUAAAAACGUUCCCUGUGUGUUUACCCUGUUCGGCUUGCUUUACUGACAAGUAAAUCAGACCCUACGAGUGCCAGAACUAGUUAGCAGAACUAGUUAGUAGAUCGGUUUGAGUCCAGCUAGACAGGUAAUAGACACCCGGCCGCAACAAGCAGUCGUGUCCGGCUCGCUUCUAGCACGAAACCCAAAUUAGGGGUGGGGUCCAUAAUGCGGUGACCAACACAAAGGUAAUAUAAUUUCGGCAAAUCCAGACACAAGCUAUACAAUGAAGUGUUCCGCGACAAUCAGCCAAUACAUACGUUUAGCUAGCUAGUAGAGUAGCUACAGCUAGCUAGCUACUUGUGGCUGUCUACAGUAUUGGAUAUUUGGGGCGUAGAUCACAGACAGUACUAGGCUACCAGCUAGCUAACUUCACCAGUCAUAGGUACUUACCCGCCACCACGUUGUAUCCUGUUCGCUUCUCGCCGGAAGAUCCCAGUACAGUAACCCCAACAGUUCCCCAUCGCAUUCUGUCAGGGUUAGCUAGCUAGACAGCUGGCUCUCUGGAUGGUCGGCAAACUCGCGUUAGCUGCAACAACUUGGCUGGCUCGCUAAACUGCUUUCAUCUCGAAAAAAUAUAAAAAUGAGAUUCCUCACCGGUGGAUUGGACAUUAAUCCUGUUCCGGGAUCUGCACAUGUGAUCGAUGGCUUGCUACGGAAUGCCAAGCUGUAUUUCACACAUGCCAGGGGUCUUGUGUCUGUGCCAGACUCUUGCCCAAAAUUAUUUAAUCGUCCACAAGAGAGCGGUAUAACCCUCCAAUGGGCAGGUCUCUUGCGCCCUUCAUGCACCUUUCUGUUUAUUAACAGCCUCCAUCACUAAUCCUGGCCCCUCCCUCCCUGCCAGGAUCACAU